CGCAGCCGCGGUAAUUCCAGCUCCAAUAGCGUAUAUUAAAGUUGCUGCAGUUAAAAAGCUCGUAGUUGAAUUUCGGGAUCAUCAUGUCGGUCGUGCCUCGGUACGUACUGGCAUUGUUGGUUUCUACCUUCUGACGAACCAUGAUGUCAUUUAUUUGGUGUCGUGGGAAAUCAGGACUGUUACUUUGAAAAAUUAGAGUGUUUAAAGCAGGCUCACGCUUGAAUACAUUAGCAUGGAAUAAUGAAAUAGGACGUUUGGUUCUAUUUUGUUGGUUUCUAGGAUCGACGUAAUGAUUAAUAGGGAUAGUUGGGGGCAUUAGUAUUCAAUUGUCAGAGGUGAAAUUCUUGGAUUUAUUGAAGACUAACUACUGCGAAAGCAUUUGCCAAGGAUGUUUUCAUUAAUCAAGAACGAAAGUUAGGGGAUCGAAGACGAUCAGAUACCGUCGUAGUCUUAACCAUAAACUAUGCCGACUAGGGAUCGGAUGAUGUUAAUUUUUAAUGUACUCAUUCGGACCG
rnacentral:misc_RNA from 1 species